rnacentral:lncRNA from 1 species
GAAAGUGUGGAUCCUCUCAACUAAUUUCCCUUCCACAUUCCACCUCUAUCUGCAAAAUCUCUAACUACGAGUAUAUCUUCCACUUUAGUCCCAUGUGUAACUUCCAAUGCCAAUGUUGUACACUCCUGAUUUUCAUCCUUCAGAGUGACUUUGACUUGGUAUGUAGUAAAAAAUCAGGCAAGUCCUGCAUCCGAAAUAAUUACAAGCUCAUGGCCAAAAUCCAACAGGAUUUAAUGGUACAGCAAAGAAAUUAUUCCAAGAAUAACAAGAUGCUUAUAGGAUAGACAAAUCCAAUUAGUAAGAAAUUUCCUACCAAAAACAGAUACUGAACAAAGCAUAUACAUGUUGUGCUUGUUCUUACUAUCUUAUCAGCAACAACAGUAACCAUCAAAUCAAAAGGCAAACAAUUUCAAACGGUUCACAUAAUCCAUAGAAAUAAAUGAGUGCAUUGCAGUGAUAUAAAAAAGUACAAGAGAUUACCUGCAAUCUUGCACUCCCUUUAAAAAUUUCGUUCAGACGAGAAGCUUUUUGUCCAUUCAUGGAAUACAUACGUCAUAGAGCAGUUUGAUGUGUAAUCCUGGUAGUUUCUUUGCUUGUCCACUACGUCCAUGAUUCUGGUGGUUUGGAUGAACCAGUCCUCCAAAACUAUUAUUACCUCGAUUCACCUUCAUAUUCUUCAUAGCUUCUAUUUCUCUGCAUUAGAUAUUAAAAUAAU